UACACUCCUGCGGGAGGCAGCAGUGGGGAAUUUUGGACAAUGGGCGAAAGCCUGAUCCAGCAAUGCCGCGUGAGUGAAGAAGGCCUUCGGGUUGUAAAGCUCUUUUGUCAGGGAAGAAACGGUGAGAGCUAAUAUCUUUUGCUAAUGACGGUACCUGAAGAAUAAGCACCGGCUAACUACGUGCCAGCAGCCGCGGUAAUACGUAGGGUGCAAGCGUUAAUCGGAAUUACUGGGCGUAAAGCGUGCGCAGGCGGUUUUGUAAGUCUGAUGUGAAAUCCCCGGGCUCAACCUGGGAAUUGCAUUGGAGACUGCAAGGCUAGAAUCUGGCAGAGGGGGGUAGAAUUCCACGUGUAGCAGUGAAAUGCGUAGAUAUGUGGAGGAACACCGAUGGCGAAGGCAGCCCCCUGGGUCAAGAUUGACGCUCAUGCACGAAAGCGUGGGGAGCAAACAGGAUUAGAAACCCCAGUAGUCCC
rnacentral:rRNA from 1 species